rnacentral:misc_RNA from 1 species
GAUGAAGAACGCAGCGAAAUGCGAUAAGUAAUGUGAAUUGCAGAAUCCAGUGAAUCAUCGAAUCUUUGAACGCACAUUGCUCCCGCCAGCAUUCUGGCGGGCAUGCCUGUUCGAGCGUCAUUUCAACCCUCGACCUCCCCUUGGGGAGGUCGGCGUUGGGGACCGGCAGCACACCGCCGGCCCUGAAAUGGAGUGGCGGCCCGUCUGCGGCGACCUCUGCGUAGUAAUACAGCUCGCACCGGAACCCCGACGCGGCCACGCCGUAAAACACCCAACUUCUGAACGUUGACCUCGAAUCAGGUAGGACUACCCGCUGAACUUAAGCAUAUCAAAGCGGAGGA